UUGUAGACAGAGUAUAAGUGCACUUCCUGUGCCGGACGAGGUCUUUCUGCUUCUUGUGAAAUACACGCCCUGUUCUCAGUUCCAACACCACUCUCUUUUAUUUUUAAUAAUUUAAUUUCACUGAUGGUUGAGUGUAGAAAAAAAAUCAUGUCAAAAGGCAAAAUAGGAUAUAUAUUAAUAAUGCAAAGAAAAUGAAUAAUGUUGAGAAAAUUUGUUAUUCGAGAUUCAGUCAUAACAAUUAUUUACUGCAUGAUGUAGAGGCAUUAGGGGGACAUCUAGUGGCCUCAAAUAUUACUGCAGGCGAUUCCUUGCCCCACAGGGUAGAAGUGUGUUUUCUCAUAGAGCAUAGAGCAAAGCAAAAAUAAAAUAAAAUAAAAUAAAAUAAAAUAAAAUAAAAAAGGGGUGUUUGUAAUGUAAUAGUGCUCUGGUGUUAACUUACAAACUAGCGGAGGUACAAGAGAAGUUUGAAGCAGCUUAAAUCUACACCACACAUCAAUGAUCAAAGCUGCUGUCUCAAAACAACAAGAACCAAUCAACAACAGGUUGUCCUGUUGUCCUAACCCAUUUUAUUUAUUUAUUUACUUACAAUUAAAAAGAAGAAGAAGAAGAAAGAAACAGCAUGGAUAUUGGAAAAUAAAUAAAAUCACACAUUUAAUAAAACAAAAUAUAUUCGUUUGUUAAACAGGGAAGAUCAUGAUCAUUUAUUCUGCUAUGAUGAGUCAUCUGUAUGACUUGUUAAUAGUAAGAUUUCUCUAACAAAAGAUCAAAAACUGCAUGUUGCUGUAUUAACCAACAUUAAAUGUAUUAUGUUCUGUAUAUAAGCACACAUGAAAAUAUUUGUAUAAUAUUUGGUUUGUUGUUUGCUUGUGAUUUUAUUACAGCCAGCAUCAUUAUUAUUAUUAGUAUAUGUCCAUUAUAGUUUGAUAUAUUUGAUAUGAUAUAUAUUAUUGUGAAACCAUUUUAAUCUGUUUCAUCAGUAUUGGUCCACUGGUCUAAGAGGAGUUGGGGAACACACAAACGUACACACAUUCAUAUGAUUAGCUCCACAGCAGUGGCCGAUCCUCAUCAUCGUAAACCAUCUGGUUGGUGCAGAGAGCAAAAAAAUAAGUGAAAACAUAAACACCUGUCAGGACGUAGGUCAGGGUGAUGCAACAAAAUGCAGACAGGUAGAGCGUCUUGUUGCAGUAGUGAUCGGUGUCUGUAGUGUUCUUGUUGUAGUCGGG
ensembl:lncRNA